GAGGGGGUGAUGACUCUAGAGAUAGAGCUUUCCCUUCGGGGACAAAGUGACAGGUGGUGCAUGGUUGUCGUCAGCUCGUGUCGUGAGAUGUUGGGUUAAGUCCCGCAACGAGCGCAACCCUUAUUGUUAGUUGCCAUCAUUUAGUUGGGCACUCUAGCGAGACUGCCGGUGACAAACCGGAGGAAGGUGGGGAUGACGUCAAAUCAUCAUGCCCCUUAUGACCUGGGCUACACACGUGCUACAAUGGGAAGUACAACGAGUCGCUAGACCGCGAGGUUAUGCAAAUCUCUUAAAGCUUCUCUCAGUUCGGAUUGCAGGCUGCAACUCGCCUGCAUGAAGCCGGAAUCGCUAGUAAUCGCGGAUCAGCACGCCGCGGUGAAUACGUUCCCGGGUCUGAAACACACCGA
rnacentral:rRNA from 1 species